GAACGCUGGCGGCGUGCUUAACACAUGCAAGUCGAACGCUGAAGCCCAGCUUGCUGGGUGGAUGAGUGGCGAACGGGUGAGUAACACGUGAGUAACCUGCCCCCUUCUUUGGGAUAACGCCCGGAAACGGGUGCUAAUACUGGAUAUUCACUGGCCUUCGCAUGGGGGUUGGUGGAAAGGUUUUUUCUGGUGGGGGAUGGGCUCGCGGCCUAUCAGCUUGUUGGUGGGGUGAUGGCCUACCAAGGCUUUGACGGGUAGCCGGCCUGAGAGGGUGACCGGUCACAUUGGGACUGAGAUACGGCCCAGACUCCUACGGGAGGCAGCAGUGGGGAAUAUUGCACAAUGGGCGAAAGCCUGAUGCAGCGACGCCGCGUGAGGGAUGACGGCCUUCGGGUUGUAAACCUCUUUCGCUCAUGGUCAAGCCGCAGCUUUGGGUUGUGGUGAGGGUAGUGGGUAAAGAAGCGCCGGCUAACUACGUGCCAGCAGCCGCGGUAAUACGUAGGGCGCGAGCGUUGUCCGGAAUUAUUGGGCGUAAAGGGCUUGUAGGCGGUUGGUCGCGUCUGCCGUGAAAUCCUCUGGCUUAACUGGGGGCGUGCGGUGGGUACGGGCUGACUUGAGUGCGGUAGGGGAGACUGGAACUCCUGGUGUAGCGGUGGAAUGCGCAGAUAUCAGGAAGAACACCGGUGGCGAAGGCGGGUCUCUGGGCCGUUACUGACGCUGAGGAGCGAAAGCGUGGGGAGCGAACAGGAUUAGAUACCCUGGUAGUCCACGCUGUAAACGUUGGGCACUAGGUGUGGGGGCCACCCGUGUUUCUGCGCCGUAGCUACGCUUUAAGCACUCCGCCUGGGGAGUACG
rnacentral:rRNA from 1 species